rnacentral:rRNA from 1 species
UGGGGGAUAUUGCACAAUGGGGGGAACCCUGAUGCAGCGACGCCGCGUGGGCGAUGAAAUGCCUCGGCAUGUAAAGCCCUGUCAGCAGGGAAGAAGACGACGGUACCUGACCAAGAAGCCCCGGCCAACUACGUGCCAGCAGCCGCGGUAAUACGUAGGGGGCGAGCGUUAUCCGGAUUCACUGGGCGUAAAGGGAGCGCAGGCGGCACGGCAAGUCCGGUGUGAAAGCCCGGGGCCCAACCCCGGGACUGCACUGGAAACUGCCGGGCUGGAGUGUCGGAGGGGCAGGCGGAAUUCCUAGUGUAGCGGUGAAAUGCGUAGAUAUUAGGAGGAACACCGGUGGCGGAGGCGGCCUGCUGGACGACGACUGACGCUGAGGCUCGAAAGCGUGGGGAGCAAACAGG